rnacentral:lncRNA from 1 species
GGGGAAGAGGGGAAGAUAAUUCAUAUGGAGCAUCACACCAGCUAUCUCCUGCUCCCUGUCCUGCACUGCAAAGGAGGCCUUUUCAUCCUCUCUACUGCCUCCAAUUUUUCUCACGAGGAAUGUGAGAGGAAAACCUAGAGCUUGUUCCUGAAGCAUGGUGCUAAGUCCAUAUGCAGCAGAUGGAGCUCAUGAGAAAAGAGUUGCUCUUGUGAAGACCAAAGCUUGAAAAAGCAUUCCCAGAAGCACGGAGAAGUGAGGAGAAAAGGCAAUGCACCUGGAGCUGGAGACCAAGGCCCUGUUCUUACUGAUGGCCCUUGGAGCAGAUAUUUGAAUUGGAGAGAUAAAACCGUGGUUUUUGGGGUGUUAAUUUUGGUGGCUGAUGCAUUCUGUGAUUGAUUUGGCUAUUACAACUGGUAUUGAUUUUAAACACAUUAAUUGCAAAAUCUCAAUUGUGAUUUGAUUUCUGUAUUUACAAUACUAAAAACGAGGCUUUCGCCAGGAGAAGACAAUUGGCAGUACUCAGUUGGAAGUGCUUAAUUGUUAAUAUAUAUCAGCCGUGGUUCUUCAGCGUCGUCAGUGUUGCUCAGUCUUGCUCUUUGUGGCGACUACUGAAUGCUUGAAAAAUUCUCUCCUAUACUCCCACUCUGCACUGUAGAAGAGAAAGAGAGGAGAGUGGAAGAAAAAAGAGAGGGAGAGGAGAAAGAAAGAGAGGAGAGAGAAACAUGGGCAUGGAUGAUACAUAAGAUAAUUCCAGAAGAUUUCAGCAUAGCAGAUAAAAUACAGCAAAUCCUAACCAGCACAGGUUUGAGUGACAAACGGGCCGGUUCCAUGGACACAGGUGACUUCAUCAGAUUCAUGAAUUAUCAGGAAAGGAGAGGACCUCUAAUUACACUUUGAGAAGAUGCUUCUAUCCCUCAUUACGCUUUGAAAUUGAAGAAUUUAGAUAUAUUUAAGUCUAUUUCACUCUUUUUAACUGAUAGAUGAAUAAACUGUUCUCUUUAUCAAUGAUCCCUCUUGGAGACCAUUUGGUAUUUCUGCUUUUUGGUUAUUAAUAACAAUGCUUCAAUAAAUGCCUUUGCACAUGUCUCCUUGUAAACAUAUGUAAGGAUUUCCCUGAUGCAGCUAAAACCUAGAAGUAGUUUUAUUGGGGAGAAAGGUUUUACAUUUAUAUUAUCAACAUUUUAAGGUACUACCCAUUUGCUAUUCAGACUGGUUUGAUUGGUUUACACUUCUGCCUAUAAUAAAUGUUUAUUAUUUAUUAUUUAUGAUUACUGUUUAUCCAUCUACUGGCUGGCAUGUGAUGUCAUCACACAAUUUCUGCAAACACAAUGGAUGUGAAAUUGUAUCUGAGUUGCUUAAUUUGUGUUUUCCUGACUACUAGUAAUGUUGAGCAUCUUUUACGUUUUUUAUGUACUUUAUUUUUUACAUUAAAUAAAUUUUGACAAAGAAUUUGUGUCCGAAUGCUAAGUGUUAGAAAAUGAAUUAAGUAUUGGGAAUAAAAAAAAUCAAGAAAAUGGAUAAUAUCCCUGUCCUUACAGAGAUUACAUUGGCCAUAUAUUUUCUUCUUAUGGAUCUUAUCUGCAUAUUUAUGGCCCAUUU